AAGUCGGAGAGAAACGAACGCGCUUUUCACGCACGAGCGAGCGCACACGAGCCGGGAAAAUUCGUUGAAGGCGUCGAGCCUGAGACACGUUAAAGGUCUUCAUCCGGCUGUGCACGGCUGGACGAGUGCGCGGCCGUCUGUAGUACGAGUGAAGGAUGUUACCAUCCAACUCUGAAGCUGCUGUUGCUGCCUCGUAGAAGCUCUUCUCGCAGACAUUCUCACACGCUCGACGACAACAACGACAACGACUCCGACAACGACGACUACGACGUAGGUAGUGGCGGACGUUUCGCGAGUUUGCUUAUGACGCCAUAAGCAGUUGCCUCGCUCAACUCGCUAGAACGAUGGCAGAUGGAGAACGCCAGAGUACAUGACGCAUCAUGCGAAAUUAUUUGAAUCUGCCGUGAAACAACACGUCAAGAUGAAAAGAUAUAAGGAUAAUAAUGAUGAUGAUGACGACGACGACGACGACAAGGAAAAGGACAAGGAUGCUUGGAUUUAGGUGGUAGGGAAGCGUAAUUAAUGAGGAGGGAGGUCGAAGGGACGAACGUAUUCUACCGACACGACAAACCGUCGUGGACGCAGCAAGGGAGCACUUACGAGAAGGAAGACGCGAGAACGACAAAGGGAAGUCCAUAGUCAUCUUGUCUGACGACGAUAUUAAGCGGAGAUUAGGCGAAGUGCUUCAUAAUAGAAAGCGAGUCUACGAUGCGUCACUCAACCAUUACAUCCUUUUCUUCUUCCGUUCGUUCCAUCUUCCUUUUCUGAGCAUUAAAGCUCUAAUAAAAGCAUUAAGCUGCGAGUGAAAAGACUUUUUCGGAAGAUACAAUAAGAGAAUCAUUUCUCUCCAAACUACCAUCCGAUGAUAACUAUGAUAGCACUUUAAAUCCUAUCGUUUCAUGUAUCAUCAAUAAUUAUGCGUUCUCUCGAUUAUCUUUUUUCGCUUGUUCCAUUAAUGUGAAAAAAAAAAUCAUAUAACGAAUUGCACGUUUGAUGGAUAGAUUUGAAAGGAUUGAAAUUAUAUGAAGCGAGAGUACUUAUUAUUUGGAUACAAAGAGCAUUGGUUAUUUAACCGAAAAAAUU